AAACCCCUGCUGUGUGCGUGAAUAGCUGUUAAGUUUUUGCCAACACAAAAAUUAAGGGAACCUAUCUCCGCCUAUGGCUUGUAAGCCCGCUUCUGUGGGACACAUUAAAUAUGCGGGAGGGCACCCACCUGCUAAGCAGGUUAAAACUACGGCAUCACGGCUCGGUGGGGUUUUU
rnacentral:other from 22 species